CGCGUAGGCGGGGAAGCCAGUCUGGUGUGAAAUUUCGGGUCUCAACCCCGAAGCUGCAUUGGAUACUACUUUUCUAGAGGAUGGACGGAGAAAACGGAAUUCCACAAGUAGCGGUGAAAUGCGUAGAUAUGUGGAGGAACACCGGUGGCGAAAGCGGUUUUCUAGUUUAUUCCUGACGCUGAGGCGCGAAAGCAAGGGGAUCAAACA
rnacentral:rRNA from 1 species